rnacentral:piRNA from 1 species
UCUACAAGGAGAAAGUGUACAUUGGUGCA